GGCCCUACGGGGCGCAGCAGGCGCGAAAACUUUACAAUGCGAGAAAUCGUGAUAAGGGAACCCCGAGUGCCCGUAAAUUCGGGCUGUCCGCCAGUGCAAAAAACUGGCGAAGAAAGAGCCGGGCAAGACCGGUGCCAGCCGCCGCGGUAACACCGGCGGCUCGAGUGGUGGUCACUAUUACUGGGCUUAAAGCGUCCGUAGCUUGGUUGUUAAGUCUCUUGGGAAAUCCACCGGCUCAACCGAUGGGCGUCAGGAGAUACUGGCAACCUAGGGACCGGGAGAGGUGAGGGGUACUCCAGGGGUAGGAGUGAAAUCCUGUAAUCCUUGGGGGACCACCUGUGGCGAAGGCGUCUCACUAGAACGGCUCCGACAGUGAGGGACGAAAGCUGGGGGAGCAAACCGGAUUAGAUACCCGGGUAGUCCCAGCUGUAAACGAUGCGCGUUAGGUGUAUCGGUGACCACGAGUCACCGAGGUGCCGAAGGGAAACCGUGAAACGUGCCGCCUGGGAAGUACGGUCGCAAGGCUGAAACUUAAAGGAAUUGGCGGGGAGCACCACAACAGGUGGAGCCUGCGGUUUAAUCGGACUCAA
rnacentral:rRNA from 1 species